AUUCUGUGGUUCCACGUGGAAUGAUGGUGAAGGGUGAAAUGAGAGCCAGAGUGUUUUCUAUGAGCCCUGUGGGGGUCAGAUGUGUUGACUAACAAUAUCCUGGCUCUCCUGGUCUACAACUGCUGAGUGCCUCUCGGCUCCAUAGCCCCCUUCUCUCCGAGCAUCACUCUGUCAUCAUGGUCCUUAUGCAGGUUCCCUGCUAUGACAGCUGUCCUUUCUUCAAACAUGGCUCCCUCAUAUAUGAAGCCUGAAUAACAUUGACACGUCUUUGUUGCCAGUGUUCAGGAUGAAGAUUUUUGGCUCCCACAUUCUGGAAGUCUUUGACUCGAGAUGGAGCGAUAGGAGUUAGCUGGAUGACUUCCAGUUUCUGGUUUUGUAAAGCUUUUGUAACCCACGUGACCGCCAUGACCCACCCACCUUCCCUUUAAGCUCUGGGACCCUCAGGUGUAUUUCCGGGUUUCCACUAUGCUGCUGCUCACUGUUGGUUGUGGUGUCGGUUGUUCAUAAAACAAUCUGAAAUUUCCAAAUCGACUCAUCACUGAACAAUUUAAUCCCCAAAACUUGAGGAUCUGCGGUUGGGAUUUGUUGACGCCUGGUAUACCUUCCUGAUGAGAACCAGUUAACAUUGCAUCCACCUCCUCAGACGAUCCGUUACUCGACGGUCAGGUUUUUUUUUCUCCCCCUUCAUCGACUUGCUUGAUGACGGAGGAUGGCGAGCUACCCACACACCACCUGGUGGUAGGAAAACGAAAGACACUCUCCACACAGGAAACAAACUAAACUCUAAAGGAGUAUUACAAGGAAAAGAACUAUUCUCCCAUUGUUCUUGGACUUCUUUUGAACUCCAUUAGGUUUUGAAGU